AUACGUAGGGUCCGAGCGUUGUCCGGAAUUAUUGGGCGUAAAGAGCUCGUAGGCGGCCUGUCGCGUCUGCUGUGAAAGUCCGGGGCUUAACUUCGGGUGUGCAGUGGAUACGGGCAGGCUUGAGGUAGGUAGGGGAGACUGGAAUUCCUGGUGUAGCGGUGAAAUGCGCAGAUAUCAGGAGGAACACCGGUGGCGAAGGCGGGUCUCUGGGCCUUACCUGACGCUGAGGAGCGAAAGCGUGGGGAGCGAACAGGAUUAGAUACCCUGGUAGUCCACGCCGUAAACGUUGGGCGCUAGGUGUGGUGACUUUCCACGGUUUCCGUGCCGUAGCUAACGCAUUAAGCGCCCCGCCUGGGGAGUACGGCCGCAAGGCUAAA
rnacentral:rRNA from 1 species